ensembl:lncRNA DNA translocase FtsK-like
GGCGAGGAACAGGCCACGCCCAACUCAUCGCUAAGAUCUUCCAUAAUCCAGAAUGUUCAUCUGAAACCAGCAGAAGGUCCUGUAGGCAUCUGGUACUACGUUCUGCAGGAACUAAAUAACGUAUUUGAGAUGUUAUCUCCAGCAGGGAGGAGUUUAUGUGUUUUAUGAUAUUUUAUUUUACUCUGUGUCCUUUUAUGCCUGGACGGCCCGCUGGUCCUCGAGAAAUAGGACCAGUUUGCUGGUAGAGGAGAAGCCUGCAGAAGCUACGGUUGGGCUGGUACGGGACCUUCCAUGUAGGGUGUGGCCACGCCCUUGGCCCCUCCCAUACUGGGAAGGUCAGUGGAGGCUUUAAAUGGAGCGCUGCAGGUCCUGCUGCUACCGCGGUCUCAACGUUCCAGGGUCCUUCGGCCAUUUCUUCUGAUCUCCUGUGAGGAUGCCCAGCAAGAGGAAGAAGAACAAGCGGCGUAUGAGGAGGGUGCAGGCUCAGAGGAGGCUUCUUGAGGAACAAUAUGCAGCUUCUUCUCCAGCUAAAGGGGCUCCUGGGCUGCGAGCCGUCUCCGCCCCACCUGUCUCCAGGUGCCCCCUAAAGCCCCCCAAGACAACAUCUGCCAAGCCUCACGCUCCAGGUCCAAAACUCAUCAAAAUACCACAGGCGGAACCAUUUAAGGAUCCAGAGUUAGAUCAAGGAACAAAUAAAGAAGAGUCUCUGAGUGAAGUGACUGAGGUUAAAGAACCGGAGUUUCCCCUGAAUAAAGUUACAGAAUUCGAACCAGCUGAAGAGCCAGAAGACCUUACUCACACAGAACUUCUGGCAGAAGCAGCUGCAGAACCAGAAUUAGCCUUUAAAAGCAUAAAACCAGAAGAAACCACCACCACAGAACCAGAACAUAUAGAGCUAGAAACAGUUCUAGAUUCAGAGGUGGUUAAAGAACCAGAAGAACAAGUUUUAGGUCCACAACUAACAACUGAUGAAGGUCUAAUGUGCUUUAAUAAAACUGAGCACGAACAACUGGAACAGGCAGCUGCUCAUUUAGAACCAGAAGCAGCAAUAGAAUUUGGAACAGUUGAGGGAACCAAGUCAGAACCAGCAGCUGAUCCGGAACAACCAGAACCAGAACUGGUUGCAGAGCUGGAACCACCGAAUGAACCAGGAAGCACAGCAGAUCCAGAAGCAUUACUGGAAGUAUGCAUUCCAGAGGUGGAACAGUCAGAGAACACUUCCAGUCCACCUGCUGAAUCAGAGACCUCAGCAGAUGCUGCAGGUGAAACCUUCCUUGAUCAUCUAGAGGAUCCUGCAGCUGCCAUUCCAGUAGCUGUGGUUGUGGAACCAGAGGUUCUUCAGCAGGAAUCAUCAGUGUCACCAGAACCAGAGGUUCUUCAGCAGGAAUUAUCAGCAUCACCAGAACCAACGAUUCUUCAGCAGGAAUCAUCAGUGUCACCAGAACCAGAGGUUCUUCAGCAGGAAUCAUCAGAGUCACCAGAACCAGAGGUUCUUCAGCAGGAAUCAUCAGUGUCACCAGAACCAGAGGUUCUUCAGCAGGAAUUAUCAGCAUCACCAGAACCAGAGGUUCUUCAGCAGGAAUCAUCUGUGUCACCAGACCCAGAGGUUCUUCAGCAGGAAUUAUCAGCAUCACCAGAACCAGAGGUUCUUCAGCAGGAAACGGCUGCUCCAGUAUGUAUGACCAUUAGUGGAUAACUAAGGCAAAUAAGUUUUAAUCACUAUACCAACCUGUCCAAGAGACACGACUGCUUUGACACCUUCUGUAGGGUUACAGCACAUUUUGUCCCCGUGGGACACGUCCUCAAAUUCAAGACUGUAAGGACACCCAGAGAACGUGUGAUAUGGACAAAGAGAAUUGACGAGUGUUAAUGGUGCUCACAUGGAGCAGCAGGUUUAGACCAGAUCUCAUCGUGGUUCUGUACCAGGAACCGAAAGUCAAAUUCAGAUGUUCCCUCUGUUGUAUAGAUGUUAAGUCUAUUGUCCCUUCAUGAUACCUUCAUGUACCUCCAGAUCUCAUUCAAGCUCAACAAGUUCUUUUCCGGAACAAAUCAGUGUAAUUUUAGAAGUAAUAAAUGUUUCCGGGUCGCUCA